UCGGAACGUGCCCAAUCGUGGGGGAUAACGUAGCGAAAGUUACGCUAAUACCGCAUACGAUCUACGGAUGAAAGCGGGGAUCGCAAGACCUCGCGCGAAUGGAGCGGCCGAUGUCAGAUUAGGUAGUUGGUGGGGUAAAGGCUCACCAAGCCGACGAUCUGUAGCUGGUCUUAGAGGACGACCAGCCACACUGGGACUGAGACACGGCCCAGACUCCUACGGGAGGCAGCAGUGGGAAUUUUGGACAAUGGGCGCAAGCCUGAUCCAGCCAUUCCGCGUGCAGGAUGAAGGCCUUCGGGUUGUAAACUGUCUUUUGUACGGAACGAAACGGUUCUCUCUAAUACAGGGGGCUAAUGACGGUACCGUAAGAAUAAGCACCGGCUAACUACGUG
rnacentral:rRNA from 1 species